rnacentral:rRNA from 1 species
GGUUAAGCGACUAAGCGUACACGGUGGAUGCCCUGGCAGUCAGAGGCGAUGAAGGACGUGCUAAUCUGCGAUAAGCGUCGGUGAGGUGAUAUGAACCGUUAUAACCGGCGAUUUCCGAAUGGGGAAACCCAGUGUGAUUCGUCACACUAUCAUUAACUGAAUCCAUAGGUUAAUGAGGCGAACCGGGGGAACUGAAACAUCUAAGUACCCCGAGGAAAAGAAAUCAACCGAGAUUCCCCCAGUAGCGGCGAGCGAACGGGGAGGAGCCCAGAGCCUGAAUCAGUAUGUGUGUUAGUGGAAGCGUCUGGAAAGGCGCGCGAUACAGGGUGACAGCCCCGUACACAAAAAUGCACAUAUUGUGAGCUCGAUGAGUAGGGCGGGACACGUGGUAUCCUGUCUGAAUAUGGGGGGACCAUCCUCCAAGGCUAAAUACUCCUGACUGACCGAUAGUGAACCAGUACCGUGAGGGAAAGGCGAAAAGAACCCCGGCGAGGGGAGUGAAAAAGAACCUGAAACCGUGUACGUACAAGCAGUGGGAGCCUCUUAAUGGGGUGACUGCGUACCUUUUGUAUAAUGGGUCAGCGACUUAUAUUCUGUAGCAAGGUUAACCGAAUAGGGGAGCCGAAGGGAAACCGAGUCUUAACUGGGCGUUAAGUUGCAGGGU